rnacentral:rRNA from 1 species
AGGCUCCUCGGGGCGCAGCAGUGGGGGAUAUUGCACAAUGGGGGGAACCCUGAUGCAGCGACGCCGCGUGGGUGAAGAAGCGCCUCGGCGCGUAAAGCCCUGUCAGCAGGGAAGAAAAUGACGGUACCUGAAGAAGAAGCCCCGGCUAACUACGUGCCAGCAGCCGCGGUAAUACGUAGGGGGCAAGCGUUAUCCGGAUUUACUGGGUGUAAAGGGGGCGCAGACGGCGAUGCAAGCCAGGAGUGAAAGCCCGGGGCCCAACC